rnacentral:rRNA from 1 species
UACGGAGGGAGCUAGCGUUGUUCGGAUUUACUGGGCGUAAAGGGCGCGUAGGCGGCCACCGCAAGUCGACUGUGAAAUCUCUGGGCUUAACCCAGAAAGGUCAGCCGAUACUGCGGGGCUAGAGUGCAGAAGGGGCAACUGGAAUUCUCGGUGUAGCGGUGAAAUGCGUAGAUAUCGAGAGGAACACCUGCGGCGAAGGCGGGUUGCUGGGCUGACACUGACGCUGAUGCGCGAAAGCUAGGGGAGCGAACAGG